UGCUUUUCACGGAGGUCGGCUGGUCAUAAAGUUCUGCUGGUUGACGUGUAACUCCUCUGUAUGGAUCCAGUUUCGUUGGCCUUUAACACUCUGAGCUGCUCAGAUCCUGAACUCAUGAUGCAGAUCAGUUUCAUGCGACUCAUAUUUCUUUGCUCGUAUGCAUCAACCUUUAACCAGUUUCAGGUGAAAUGCAGUAAAUGAUUGGGGGCAAAAAUGGUGUCUCAUCUUUUUAUUUUCUACAAUAUCUUUUUUUUUUAUCAGAACAGAAGCAUGUUUAUAGACACAUUACAAUUAACACACAUUACAAGUGACCAUAAAGCCAUCCUUGAAAAUGUAUCAAAAUAAUAAUACACUAUCUAACUUAUUAGAUGGCGAGUAGAUAAAAUAUACACGUUUUUUGAUUUGAUUUUUAAAGAUAUUUCUUGUCAAAUGUGUGAAACCUCAGAUCUUGUGGGGGAACAUUGAGUCCAGUCAUGCCUUUGAAGUCGAUUUCAAAGGCAUGAAGUUAUUUUAAUUUUACUUAUAGAGCACAUCUCAUGCCAUAAACAUAAACUCACUAUGUUUAAAAGGAAAUGUAAAUAUUAAGGCAAGCAAUGACGAUAACAUAUCAAGCACAUCUUUGAAAUAUGUAUGCCCGGUUUGAUGCUGAAAGCUGCAGAUUGUCUGUAUUUUUGUCCCUCUUGCGACGUCAUCGACUCACUGAAAUAAAGCAGAAUGAGCUGGUCUGUCUUCAGUACAGUUUUCAAGAGGUUUUGUAUUUUGUAAAAUCGUGCAGGAAAAAUCCAUGCUUCAUUAUCCUGCUAUGCACUGUCCACUUGUCAAUGAGGGAAUUUAAAACUAUGCGGUAACAGAUUCAAGAGCAAAGCAGAUGAUUUGGAGUAGUUCUAAAAUAAUUUUCAUCUUGGAAACUUCAACUUUCGUCUCCUUUGACGUCACGCUUACCAGUUGAACAAAUCAGAUUCUUUGUGUUCUGAAUUUUUGACCCACUGAUUUUUAACAGAGCGUGUUACAGACAUCCUGGGUAAUCUGAUUCCUCUCUGUAAGCAUCAUUACUGCUCUCAUCUGCUGAAACAUUUGAGGAGGAAACGCAUAGAGCCCUCUGAACCCCGCCCUCUCAUUCAGCAUGCCGUGAGUCACUUCCUUCCUGGGUUUCUCAAAUCAGAAACAUAUCCCUACGGCGCAUAAAACUCAACAAUGGCAUCUGGGUCAGGACGUCCCGCGUGACGGGAUUAUCAUGGAGGGGACUUUGCCUCAGUGUGUGGAUGGGAUCUUCUCAUAUUGCCACCUGCAGGUCAGCAGCGAUUUUGCAGUGGGAAGUCGUAACGCCAGAGAGGUGUUUAAAGGUGGAUGGAGCUGUAAGACUCACCUUUUGUCCUUUCUGGCUGCCACGGCUGCACCUCCGUACCUGAGCAUUGUGCGUUAGUGUGUGACAUGAGCCAGCACAUUACAGUUGCUGUCUGAGGUCUACAAGGCAGUAAAAUGUCGGGUGCAGGCAGCCGUGUUGGGUCUGAAGGAGGAGUUUUACCAUCUGAGCGUGGAGAAACGUAUCUCUGCUGGACUCCAUCAGGUGGGCCUGCUGCAGGACCACUUGGCUCACAUGAUCACAGAGGACACGUGUGGGCAACUGUUACAGUGCCUUCAGCACCACUUGGUCGCACUCUGCAAGAAGUUGCCCCACCCAUCUGUGAUGGAUUUGCGUCUGUCUGGGAGCUCUUUCUGGAGACAUCAUACCUGUGGCAUCCGCAAACACACCAGAGAGAGACGUUAAAAAGGAGGUUGCCAGCAUGGCUGCUAAGAUGUUUUGGCGGCUCCGUGUUUUUCUUCUGACUCUGCACAGCUCACAGCAGAGUCAGAGACAAGG